rnacentral:lncRNA from 1 species
GAGAAGGAGGUGAGGCGAGGUGAGGGAAUGCUAGCUCCACACUGCUGCUUUGAGCCAGCAAGAUUAAUGUAGGCUCUCUGGAGCAAAGGCAACAUCCAGAGCUUUAAUAAGGUACAAACAAUCGGUUCCACUCCACUGGCUUCCGAGGGAAAACUAUUGUUGUGCUGCAUUGUUUCUUGCUAAGACUCCUUGGAGACACGGGCUGGCUGCAGCAUGUGGCUGUCUCCAUUACAGCCAAGGGAGGGGACAAUGUAGACCUGUGUUUGUCUGUGUCAGGGUGAAGGUUGGCUCUUCCCCAACACGUACCCGCCCUCUGCCCCGCCCAGUUCCCCGUUCAGUCCCCGAAAUACCCAAAACAAGCGCACUCACCUCGACUCCCUGGACUUUCAGCUUCAUGUGAUCCUCCCGGGUGGUCUUUCCGUCUUUCCUCUUCUUCCAACAGUAGCCAUCCUUUCUGUACUUCACCUUCUUCCUAUUGUACAAGAUCAUGGAACCAUUCUGAGGCCUGGAUCCACGGAGACCGGGCAGAGGGAGGGGGAGAGUGAAACAAAAACAGAGAGAAACAUGAAACGAGGGGACUUUGAAGGCAGCCCAGCUGGGGGACUCAUUUCAGAGGUGCACAAAGAGCGCUGACACAAGUUUACACCAGCCUGAAAAUGCACCAGUGGCUUCGAGGACAAGGCAUUCUGUGCUGUUUUUUGGCGUGCACGGCUUGACAGGGGACAAAACGCCCAUCGCCAUGCGUUCCUCCGGGUGAGCGGGGCGUCGACGUGAGUCCUCACAGAGGAAGAGUAUGGCGAGGCUGCUCUGCCCCUUAUCGCUCAUUCAUCCAACUUAAAUGAGUUGUGGUGUUGGAAGUCCCCAAGGCCCUGUCUUCUCGCCGUCAGUCAAGUCAGACUGUGCACGAGGGAGCGUCUUCGUCUCCACCUCCUCCGACUCCCCCUUGUUUUGGGAUUCCUCACCUUCCUCUGCCACAACUCAACUGCUCAGGGUGCUUAGAAAACAGCCAUUAAAGGACAUUUUAAUGGUCAGUUGGAAAGCGGGCGCGCACAGUGCUCCUAUGGGAUGCAUAAGCAGUAUAAAUUGUGUUGUUGUUUAUCGUUUGUGUAACGUCGCUGCGCUUGAUCAUAAAAGGCACUGAUGAAGCAACGACUUUGCUGCCUUUUGCAGUGCAAACAUACAUGUUGGGACAUUUGCAUUCUGAAUGUCAUUUGAAAGACUCAUUUAAGGCCCC